rnacentral:tRNA from 5 species
GGUGGGUUGGCCGAGGAGUUAGGCACGGCUCUGCAAAAGCUGUUACGGGGGUGCGAAGCCCUCACCCACCUCCA